GGAGGAAAGUAGGGGAUCGUAAGACCUUGCGCUUUUGGAGCGGCCGAUGCCUGAUUAGCUAGUUGGUGGGGUAAAAGCCUACCAAGGCAACGAUCAGUAGUUGGUCUGAGAGGACGGCCAGCCACACCGGGACUGAGACACGGCCCAGACUCCUACGGGAGGCAGCAGUGGGGAAUUUUGGACAAUGGGCGCAAGCCUGAUCCAGCAAUGCCGCGUGAGUGAAGAAGGCCUUCGGGUUGUAAAGCUCUUUCAGUCGAGAAGAAAAGAUUGUGACGAAUAAUCACAAUUCAUGACGGUAUCGACAGAAGAAGCACCGGCUAACUACGUGCCAGCAGCCGCGGUAAUACGUAGGGUGCAAGCGUUAAUCGGAAUUACUGGGCGUAAAGGGUGCGCAGGCGGCUUUGUAAGUCAGAUGUGAAAUCCCCGGGCUUAACCUGGGAAU
rnacentral:rRNA from 1 species